rnacentral:rRNA from 1 species
GAACUUUCCAGAGAUGGAUUGGUGCCUUCGGGAACUGUGAGACAGGUGCUGCAUGGCUGUCGUCAGCUCGUGUUGUGAAAUGUUGGGUUAAGUCCCGCAACGAGCGCAACCCUUAUCCUUUGUUGCCAGCGGUCCGGCCGGGAACUCAAAGGAGACUGCCAGUGAUAAACUGGAGGAAGGUGGGGAUGACGUCAAGUCAUCAUGGCCCUUACGACCAGGGCUACACACGUGCUACAAUGGCGCAUACAAAGAGAAGCGACCUCGCGAGAGCAAGCGGACCUCAUAAAGUGCGUCGUAGUCCGGAUUGGAGUCUGCAACUCGACUCCAUGAAGUCGGAAUCGCUAGUAAUCGUGGAUAAGAAUGCCACGGUGAAUACGUUCCCGGGCCUUGUACACACCGCCCGUCACACCAUGGGAGUGGGUUGCAAAAGAAGUAGGUAGCUUAACCUUCGGGAGGGCGCUUACCACUUUGUGAUUCAUGACUGGGGUGAAGUCGUAACAAGGUAACCGUAGGGGAACCUGCGGUUGGAUCACCUCCUUA